GGCCCGGUGGUCUAGCGGUUAGGACGCCGCUCUUUCACAGCGGAGAUCGCGGGUUCAAGUCCCGUCCGGGCUACCA
rnacentral:tRNA from 1 species